CAAAUGCGAAAUGUCGUGUGACAAGCAUUCCUCGUGAAUCAUCAAAUCUUUGAACGCACCUUGCACCCGGUGUCAGUACCGGGUAUACAUGUUUGAGUAUCGCGACAACGAUCACCGGCAACGAGUGAAGGAUGAGGUUUAGUGGUCAGGUACUAUGCCUUGAAAUGCAUGUGCUACGUAAGUGGCGCCGGGGUGGCCGGCAGUGGGAUAUACGCAUUCGCAUUCGCAUUUGCAUUCGCUGCGAUAAGGCCACUCGCAUCACAAAUCGAUCUCAAAUCAUGCAGGAUCACCCGCUGAACUUAA
rnacentral:misc_RNA from 1 species